GGUCAAGGUAUCAGCGGGUCCAGGUAUCAGCAGGUCCAGGUAUCAGCAGGUAUCAGCAGGUCCAGGUAUCAGCGGGUAUCAGCGGGUCCAGGUAUCAGCAGGUCCAGGUAUCAGCGGGUAUCAGCGGGUCCAGGUAUCAGGUGGUCCAGGUAUCAGAGGGUCCAGGUAUCAGCAGGUAUCAGCUGGUCCAGGUAUCAGCAGGUAUCAGCGGGUCCAGGUAUCAGCAGUUCCAGGUAUCAGCAGGUCCAGGCAUCAGCGGGUCCAGGUAUCAGUGGGUCCAUGUAUCAGCAGGUAUCAGCGGGUCAAGGUAUCAGCGGGUAUCAGCGGGUCCAGGUAUCAGCAGGUCCAGGUAUCAGCGGGUAUCAGCGGGUCCAGGUAUCAGCAGUUCCAGGUAUCAGCGGGUCCAGGUAUCAGCGGGUCAAGGUAUCAGUGGGUCCAGGUAUCAGCAGGUCCAGGUAUCAGCAGGUAUCAGCAGGUCCAGGUAUCAGCGGGUAUCAGCGGGUCCAGGUAUCAGCAGGUCCAGG